UUUUCUUUUUUUUUUUUGAAGCAACGCUGGCAGUUCAGCCCUCGAACACCGGAGAAGGACAGCUCGUCGGAAGACCUUCGACCUCCCGGGCGAUCUCGAGGAGCAAUCAAUCCGGCCGUCGUUCGCACGGCCGCCGAACGCCGAUUCGCCAUGGCUGCGGCGCGGGGCGGGGGCGCGGAGGAAGGCGAAGGAGGCGGCGGUGGGCGCCGCCGCGAGGGCGCUCUUCUACCCGACGCUGCUCUACAACGUGGUGAGGAGCAAGGUCCAGGCCGAGUUCCGGUGGUGGGACGAGGUCGAUCAGAUUGCUCAAACCGCGUAACUCUGAGAUGGCAUGAAGAUUCAGAUGAAAGAAGCGAAACUGCAAAAGAACCUCCGUUGCAGUUUUUCUGGUGAACUGGCGAGGUUGGUUCUUCAAGGGUAGGAAGGAAGCAAAGCUUUGCACGGCCAGGAUUCUUGGGUCCGUCCUGGUCCAAGUUCCUCCUUUCGGCACCGAAGGAAAGAAAAUAUGCAGAAGCGUCAGAUGCAAGCUGCGAAGUGGUUGUUCUUGGAAAAAAAGACACCUAAAGGACGUCUUAAGAUCUGAUAAAUAUCAAGCUGCGAAGUUGCUACCACUCUUGUACCGUUCUCCCGAGUAAAUAGCAUAAAACUGCUACUUUACAGGCUAUGGUUCCAAAAAACUACCAAAUAUUUUUUUUUCGCUGAUAACUACCAAUUCGGGAGUCGGCUGUUUCAAAAAACCCAAAUUCCUCGUUGCUAACAUUUUAAAUGGGUUUAUGAUAGGUCGGGCCUGCUCCUAAACAAUCCGUUUGUUGAUCUUUUUGUUUGACCGUUAGCUUAUUGUGGGACCCACAUGUAAGAUAUUUUUUCUUCCUCCUACAUUUUCUUCUCUCCCUCUAUCUCUUUCUUCUCUCCUCCUUGCCCGAGCUCCAGGACCUCGACCAGUCACCAACGGCCACCUCCACCACGCGUCGUGCCCAGGAGCAAGAGCCGCUGCGAGCCGCGUUGGAGCAAGGCGGGCAAGGGCCGCUGCGAGCCGCGCCGGGGCAAGGCGGGCAAGGGCCGCCGCGAGCCGCGCCUAGGAGCGCCGGGAGCCACGCACCAUGGCCGGGAGGGCGCAACUCCUCUCGAGUUUGAGCAUGAAAGGGACCCGAUUGAUUUUUUUUAAGUCUGCAGGGAACCGAUUGCUUUUUUUCAAAUUUUACAGG